rnacentral:rRNA from 1 species
GACGAACGCUGGCGGCGUGCCUAACACAUGCAAGUUGAGCGACGAACCAGGGCUUGCCCUGGGGCAAAGCAGCGAACGGGUGAGUAACACGUGGGUAACCUACCCCGAUAACCGGGACAACCCGAGGAAACUCGGGCUAAUACCGGAUGUGCUCACUGGACUUCGGUUCAGUGCGUAAAGGAAGCUUCGGCUUCCGUAUCGGGAGGGGCCCGCGGCCCAUUAGUUUGUUGGUGAGGUAACGGCUCACCAAGACCGCGAUGGGUAGCUGGUCUGAGAGGACGAUCGGCCACACUGGAACUGAGACACGGCCCAGACUCCUACGGGAGGCAGCAGUGGGGAAUCUUGCGCAAUGCGCGAAAGCGUGACGCAGCAACGCCGCGUGGGGGAAGAAGGCCUUCGGGUUGUAAACCCCUUUCAGGAGGGACGAAGGUUCGGCGGUGAAUAGCCGUCCGGACUGACGGUACCUCCACAAGAAGCCCCGGCUAACUACGUG